rnacentral:lncRNA from 1 species
UAAUAAUAAGCAGAAGGUCUAAGGUCAUUGUUUGUCUCAGCACAAACCCUUAAAUAGGAGCUGAGAUCACAAAUCCUAAUAAAAAACAAAUCUUAGAAGAUAACAAUAAAUCCUAAAGAUAGAGUUUUAAAAUAACAACCUAAAUAAGUUUGAAUCUUAAAGAUAGCAAACUUAAUUUAUUCCGAAAUUAAAUCCUAAUAUUUUCUAAAAUACAAUCUUAACUCCAGCACAAUUAAAUCUUCAUUCCGCAAUUCUCCAAAAUGCCCUUGAUGUCAAUAAGACCUGAAAAUAAUAAUAAACGUAAUUAGACAAAAUAAUAGAAAUCACUGUCAAGCAAGGUCAAUUAAUUACGAAUAAUC